GACGAACGCUGGCGGCGUGCUUAACACAUGCAAGUCGAACGGAAAGGCCCUGCUUUUGUGGGGUGCUCGAGUGGCGAACGGGUGAGUAACACGUGAGUAACCUGCCCUUGACUUUGGGAUAACUUCAGGAAACUGGGGCUAAUACCGGAUAGGAGCUCCUGCUGCAUGGUGGGGGCUGGAAAGUUUCGGCGGUUGGGGAUGGACUCGCGGCUUAUCAGCUUGUUGGUGGGGUAGUGGCUUACCAAGGCUUUGACGGGUAGCCGGCCUGAGAGGGUGACCGGCCACAUUGUGACUGAGAUACGGCCCAGACUCCUACGGGAGGCAGCAGUGGGGAAUAUUGCACAAUGGGCGGAAGCCUGAUGCAGCAACGCCGCGUGCGGGAUGGCGGCCUUCGGGUUGUAAACCGCUUUCGCCUGUGACGAAGCGUGAGUGACGGUAAUGGGUAAAGAAGCACCGGCUAACUACGUG
rnacentral:rRNA from 1 species